UACAGAGGGGGCAAGCGUUGUUCGGAAUUAUUGGGCGUAAAGGGCUCGUAGGCGGCCAACUAAGUCAGACGUGAAAUCCCCAGGCUCAACCUGGGAACUGCGUCUGAUACUGGAUGGCUUGAAUCCGGGAGAGGGAUGCAGAAUUCCAGGUGUAGCGGUGAAAUGCGUAGAUAUCUGGAGGAAUACCGGUGGCGAAGGCGGCAUCCUGGACCGGCAUUGACGCUGAGGAGCGAAAGCCAGGGGAGCAAACGGG
rnacentral:rRNA from 1 species